CCUACGGUGUGCAGCAGUGGGGAAUUUUGCGCAAUGCUCGUAAGAGUGACGCAGCGACGCCGCGUGAAUGACGAAGGCCUUCGGGUCGUAAAGCUCUGUUGCGGGGGAAAAAAGGCAGCAUCAGGAAAUGGGUGCUGACUGAUGGUGCCCCGCCAGAAAGUCACGGCUAACUACGUGCCAGCAGCCGCGGUAAUACGUAGGUGGCGAGCGUUAUCCGGAAUGAUUGGGCGUAAAGGGUGCGCAGGCGGUCCUGCAAGUCUGGAGUGAAACGCAUGAGCUCAACUCAUGCAUGGCUUUGGAAACUGGAGGACUGGAGAGCAGGAGAGGGCGGUGGAACUCCAUGUGUAGCGGUAAAAUGCGUAGAUAUAUGGAAGAACACCAGUGGCGAAGGCGGCCGCCUGGCCUGUUGCUGACGCUGAGGCACGAAAGCGUGGGGAGCAAAUAGGAUUAGAUACCCGAGUAGUC
rnacentral:rRNA from 1 species